rnacentral:rRNA from 1 species
GAUGAACGCUGGCGGCGUGCCUAAUACAUGCAAGUCGAGCGAACAGACGAGGAGCUUGCUCCUCUUACGUUAGCGGCGGACGGGUGAGUAACACGUGGAUAACCUACCUAUAAGACUGGGAUAACUUCGGGAAAACGGAGCUAAUACCGGAUAAUAUAUUGAACCGCAUGGUUCAAUAGUGAAAGACGGUUCUUCUGUCACUUAUAGAUGGAUCCGCGCCGCAUUAGCUAGUUGGUAAGGUAACGGCUUACCAAGGCAACGAUGCGUAGCCGACCUGAGAGGGUGAUCGGCCACACUGGAGCUGAGACACGGUCCAGACUCCUACGGGAGGCAGCAGUAGGGAAUCUUCCGCAAUGGGCGAAAGCCUGACGGAGCAACGCUGCGUGAGUGAUGAAGGUCUUCGGAUCGUAAAACUCUGUUAUUAGGGAAGAACAAAUGUGUAAGUAACUAUGCACGUCUUGACGGUACCUAAUCAGAAAGCCACGGCUAACUACGUG